rnacentral:rRNA from 1 species
GAAACGAGUAGAGUGGCGCACGGGUGAGUAACGCGUAGGUAAUCUACCCCUGUAUUUGGGAUAACAUUGCGAAUGUGGUGCUAAUACCGGAUAGUCUUUAGAUGCUGCGAGGUAUUUAAAGUAAAGGAGGCCUCUUGAUAAAGCUUCCGUAUAGGGAUGAGCCUGCGUACCAUUAGCUAGUUGGUGGGGUAACGGCCUACCAAGGCGACGAUGGUUAGCGGGUCUGAGAGGAUGAUCCGCCACACUGGAACUGGAACACGGACCAGACUCCUACGGGAGGCAGCAGUGAGGAAUAUUGCGCAAUGGGGGCAACCCUGACGCAGCGACGCCGCGUGGGUGAGGAAGGUUUUCGGAUCGUAAAGCCCUGUCAGGUGGGAAGAAGUGUUAGACGAUUAAUACUCGUGUAAUUUGACGGUACCACCAGAGGAAGCACCGGCUAACUCCGUGCCAGCAGCCGCGGUAAUACGGAGGGUGCUAGCGUUGUUCGGAAUUACUGC